GAUGAACGCUGGCGGCGUGCCUAAUACAUGCAAGUCGAGCGAAUGGAUUAAGAGCUUGCUCUUAUGAAGUUAGCGGCGGACGGGUGAGUAACACGUGGGUAACCUGCCCAUAAGACUGGGAUGACUCCGGGAACCGGGGCUAAUACCGGAUAACAUUUUGAACCGCAUUGUUCGAAAUUGAAAGGCGGCUUCGGCUGUCACUUAUGGAUGGACCCGCGUCGCAUUAGCUAGUUGGUGAGGUAACGGCUCACCAAGGCAACGAUGCUUAGCCGACCUGAGAGGGUGAUCGGCCACACUGGGACUGAGACACGGCCCAGACUCCUACGGGAGGCAGCAGUAGGGAAUCUUCCGCAAUGGACGAAAGUCUGACGGAGCAACGCCGCGUGAGUGAUGAAGGCUUUCGGGUCGUAAAACUCUGUUGUUAGGGAAGAACAAGUGCUAGUUGAAUAAGCUGGCACCUUGACGGUACCUAACCAGAAAGCCACGGCUAACUACGUGCCAGCCGCCGCCGUAA
rnacentral:rRNA from 1 species